rnacentral:rRNA from 1 species
GUGAUGCGGGUGCUAUACAUGCAGUCGAGCGAACAGAGAAGGAGCUUGCUCCUUCGACGUUAGCGGCGGACGGGUGAGUAACACGUGGGCAACCUACCUUAUAGUUUGGGAUAACUCCGGGAAACCGGGGCUAAUACCGAAUAAUCUGUUUCACCUCAUGGUGAAACACUGAAAGACGGUUUCGGCUGUCGCUAUAAGAUGGGCCCGCGGCGCAAUAGCUAGUUGGUGAGGUAACGGCUCACCAAGGCGACGAUGCGUACCCGACCUGAGAGGGUGAUCGGCCACACUGGGACUGAGACACGGCCCAGACUCCUACGGGAGGCAGCAGUAGGGAAUCUUCCACAAUGGGCGAAAGCCUGAUGGAGCAACGCCGCGUGAGUGAAGAAGGAUUUCGGUUCGUAAAACUCUGUUGUAAGGGAAGAACAAGUACAGUAGUAACUGGCUGUACCUUGACGGUACCUUAUUAGAAAGCCACGGCUAACUACGUGCCAGCAGCCGCGGUAAUACGUAGGUGGCAAGCGUUGUCCGGAAUUAUUGGGCGUAAAGCGCGCGCAGGUGGUUUCUUAAGUCUGAUGUGAAAGCCCACGGCUCAACCGUGGAGGGUCAUUGGAAACUGGGAGACUUGAGUGCAGAAGAGGAUAGUGGAAUUCCAAGUGUAGCGGUGAAAUGCGUAGAGAUUUGGAGGAACACCAGUGGCGAAGGCGACUAUCUGGUCUGUAACUGACACUGAGGCGCGAAAGCGUGGGGAGCAAACAGGAUUAGAUACCCUGGUAGUCCACGCCGUAAACGAUGAGUGCUAAGUGUUAGGGGGUUUCCGCCCCUUAGUGCUGCAGCUAACGCAUUAAGCACUCCGCCUGGGGAGUACGGUCGCAAGACUGAAACUCAAAGGAAUUGACGGGGGCCCGCACAAGCGGUGGAGCAUGUGGUUUAUUUCGAAGCAACGCGAGACCUUACCAGUCUGACAUCCCGUUGACCACUGUAAAGAUAUAUUUCCCCUUCGGGGCACGGUGACAGGUGUGCAUGGUCGUCGUCACUCGUGUCGUGAAUGUGGUUAACUCCCCAACGAACGCACCUUGAUCUAGUGCAUCAUUAGUGACACUCUAGGUACUGCCGUGACAACGGAGAAGGUGGUAGCUCAAUCUCAUGCCUUGAACCUGUCAACGUCCAAUGGACAACAGCGUGCAUCGGAGGGACUAUCGAUAGCUCUCAAUCGAAGUAUAGUC